UGCGUUCGACUCUCGACCGCCUCGGUCGUUU
rnacentral:sRNA from 1 species